UACGUAGGGGGCAAGCGUUGUCCGGAAUCAUUGGGCGUAAAGAGCGUGUAGGCGGCCCGGUAAGUCCGCUGUGAAAGUCCAGGGCUCAACCCUGGAAUGCCGGUGGAAACUGUCGGGCUAGAGUCCGGAAGAGGCGAGUGGAAUUCCUGGUGUAGCGGUGAAAUGCGCAGAUAUCAGGAGGAACACCAAUGGCGAAGGCAGCUCGCUGGGACGGUAACUGACGCUGGAGACGCGAAAGCGUGGGGAGCAAACAGG
rnacentral:rRNA from 1 species